rnacentral:piRNA from 1 species
UGCUUCACCGACAACAGAGUGAGUGGGUUUC